GUACACUGGCUUGUACAGUGGGUUUCCGUGCUCCUCGUACUCCGCAGGCGUAGGAAAAUAAACUUCACUCAAGUUUACUAGUAGUUUAGCACCAUCAGAUGCUCUGAAGACCCACGGUUAUUCAUAAAAGUGAUGUAAGUCGGAUCAUUAGAGUUGAGAGAUUUCAGAGGCGCGACUUCUUCCUGUUCAGUCAUGGUGAUGAUGAUAAUGCAGUUCUGUCACACAAACAGUAGGGAAGCCUCCGUUGCGACAACCGCCGGGACACUUUGCUUCAAACGAUACAAUGAGGAGAGAAGACAUGGUUGGUCUUGAAGAAAAUUGCAUUGUGUGGUGUCCUCAGAAUGAUGUUUCCCCCAGCAUCCAUGACCAGGAUGGUCACCUCAAAUGCUGCAACACCAUCCUGAUCCCCUUGGCAUGGGAAGCCCACCUGGACCACUGA